UGAGGAAUAUUGCACAAUGGGCGCAAGCCUGAUGCAGCAACGCCGCGUGCGGGACGACGGCCUUCGGGUUGUAAACCGCUUUUCUGAGGGACGAGCGAGGACGGUACCUUAGGAAUAAGUCUCGGCUAACUACGUGCCAGCAGCCGCGGUAAAACGUAGGAGGCGAGCGUUAUCCGGAUUUACUGGGCGUAAAGCGCGCGCAGGUGGCCGUGUAAGUUGGACGUGAAAGCUCCUGGCUUAACUGGGAGAGGUCGUUCGAUACUGCGGGGCUUGGGGUUGGGGGAGGGGUGUGGAAUUCCCGGUGUAGUGGUGGAAUGCGUAGAGAUCGGGAGGAACACCUGAGGCGAAGGCGGCACCCUGGCCCACACCUGACACUGAGGUGCGAAAGCGUGGGGAGUAAACAG
rnacentral:rRNA from 1 species